ACGGGUGAGUAAUACAUCGGAACGUGCCCAAUCGUGGGGGAUAACGCAGCGAAAGCUGUGCUAAUACCGCAUACGAUCUACGGAUGAAAGCAGGGGAUCGCAAGACCUUGCGCGAAUGGAGCGGCCGAUGGCAGAUUAGGUAGUUGGUGAGGUAAAGGCUCACCAAGCCUUCGAUCUGUAGCUGGUCUGAGAGGACGACCAGCCACACUGGGACUGAGACACGGCCCAGACUCCUACGGGAGGCAGCAGUGGGGAAUUUUGGACAAUGGGCGAAAGCCUGAUCCAGCCAUGCCGCGUGCAGGAUGAAGGCCUUCGGGUUGUAAACUGCUUUUGUACGGAACGAAACGGUCUUUUCUAAUAAAGAAGGCUAAUGACGGUACCGUAAGAAUAAGCACCGGCUAACUACGUGCCAGCAGCCGCGGUAAUACGUAGGGUGCAAGCGUUAAUCGGAAUUACUGGGCGUAAAGCGUGCGCAGGCGGUGAUGUAAGACAGUUGUGAAAUCCCCGGGCUCAACCUGGGAACUGCAUCUGUGACUGCAUCGCUGGAGUACGGCAGAGGGGGAUGGAAUUCCGCGU
rnacentral:rRNA from 1 species